UACGGAGGGUGCGAGCGUUGUCCGGAAUCACUGGGCGUAAAGGGCGCGUAGGCGGUGCGAGAAGCGUGUGGUGAAAGGCCGGGGCUCAACUCCGGCUCGGCCGUGCGGACUCUCGCGCUGACUGAUGAGUGCUGUAGAGGCGGGCGGAAUUCCGGGUGUAGCGGUGGAAUGCGUAGAGAUCCGGAAGAACACCGGUGGCGAAGGCGGCCCGCUGGGCAGUGGACUGACGCUGAGGCGCGACAGCGUGGGGAGCAAACAGG
rnacentral:rRNA from 1 species